AGACGCACUAUGAAAAUGGAGAGUACAUUAUCAGGCAAGGGGCUCGAGGGGACACUUUCUUUAUAAUCAGCAAAGGAAAGGUAAAUGUUACUCGUGAAGAUUCACCCAGUGAAGAGCCAAUCUUUCUCCGCACUUUAGGGAAAGGAGAUUGGUUUGGAGAAAAAGCACUUCAGGGGGAGGAUGUCAGAACAGCCAAUGUCAUUGCUGCUGAAGCAGUAACUUGUCUUGUCAUAGACCGAGA